GACGCACCGUGCGAACGUUGUUCGGAAUCACUGGGCUUAAAGGGCGCGUAGGUGGUUUGCCAAGUCGGGGUUGAAAUCUUUCGGCUUAACCGGAAAAGUGGCUUCGAUACUGGCAAGCUGGAGGGAGGUAGGGGCGGAUGGAACUUCCGGUGGAGCGGUGAAAUGUGUUGAUAUCGGAAGGAACGCCGGUGGCGAAAGCGAUCCGCUGGACCUCUUCUGACACUGAGGCGCGAAAGCCAGGGGAGCAAACGGG
rnacentral:rRNA from 1 species